CGCACGCGCACACGCACACACACACACACACACACACACACACACACACACACACACACACACACACACAUAUACACACACAUACAUAUACACACACACACACAAUCAUUUUUUUAUUGUUGAGAGGAAGGUAAUGAAGAACGAAAACUAAAUCAUGGUAUUGAAACAAAGAAAGGAAUGAAAAGAUAUAAAAACGUAAAUUAUUCUGAAAAAAGGGGGAGAAAAACCAACCGAAAAGAUCAGGGAAAAACGAAAAGGUAUGGAAAAUUGAUACAUUUAGUAAGAUGGAAGAGAGAAAAACAUUACCUUUAUAUUGUGGUGAUAAACGUGUCGAUUAAAAAAAGUGAUGGAUGGUGAUGUAUGUGUAGGUGGGGAAAAAAAGUGAUAAGGUGUUAUCUUUUGUGUGUUGUGUGUGUGUGUGUGUGUGUGUGUGUGUGUGUGUGUGUGUGUGUGUGUGUGUGUGUGUGUGUGUGUGUGUGUGUGUGUGUGUGUGUGUGUGUGUCGUGGGUGUGUGUGUGAACAUAUCAAGCACAAUCGGUACUUAAAACGCCCAUGAAACGUAACUAAAAUCACAAAGAAUCGGGCAAAAAUUGUCAAGAAAAUAAUGAAGACGAAUAAAAGAGAGAGAGAGAAAAAAAAAGGAAAAAGAAAACAUGAAAGGUUCCUUGAUCUUUAAAGGAACGAUUGAACUUACAGAAAAGAUUUUGCGUUGGUCAAGAUUUUAAAAGAAUAGAAUUAAAAAGUUAAGAAUUUAAUGUUUUAUAGAUUUUACGAAAAUGGAUAGCAAGGAAAGACAUUGUAGAGUUUGAUAUGUCGGAAAACUAUGGAUUGUAAUAAUAGUGUAAUAAUAAUUGCAUAUCAAUUACCAUAUAAAUUAUUUCUUAGAGUAUGAUAGUAAAGAUAUUCCGAAAAAAAAGUUUGUGGGAUGUAAUAAAUAGCUUAAAAUGGGAUACGUCAAAAAGUAAAUAAUUGAUAAAUAAAAGGUGAAAUAAAAGUAUAGUAAUAAAACAAAAAAAAACGAAAGAUCAUAAUCUGUGUGAAUAUUUUGUAUUUCUUAUUUAUUUAUUUAUAUUUUGUAGGAACAUACGAAAAAAAAAAAAUAAAAAUAAUAAAACAGAAAAAACGGAAAAAAAUCGAAAUUGGUGACAUCAGAAACACUAUAAGAAACGGGAUUAAUAGAACAUAUAAAUUUAUUUUUUUCCCCUUCGAUAUAAACGCAUAAAAAAAGAAAAGAAAAGAAAGGAAAAAGAAAGAAAGAAAGAAAAAAAAUAUAUAAUAAAAAGAAAUCGAGAGAUCAAUGGAAAACUUGAAAUAUGAAAUACUUACUUAGAGAGAAAUAAAGAAAUACUUAUGAUUUAAAGGUGAAACUUUGGGGAAAAUGAUUUAAAUACAGUUCCCGGGUAUUUAUUUAUUUAUUCUAUUAAGACUAAGGUAUAACAAAAUUUAUGAAUGAGAUAAAUAAGAGACCGAACGAAGGGAAUAAAGAAAUAAAGGGAAUAAUAAUAAUAAUAAAAAAAAAGAAUAAAACAUUAAUAACAUUUAUAGUGAAAGGUUGAAUAAUGAAAGUAAUAAGGAAAGAAAAAAGAAAAAAGUGUGAAAGAUAGAGCAAAGAAAUCAAAGAAACGUAGAAUAAAAAAGUUAAAACAAGGGAAAGGAAAAAUAAUUACGAACGGUAGGAAAAAGAAAAAGAGAAAUGGGUAUUAAAGGUAAAAAAAAUAAGAAUAGGGAAAGAGAAGAAGAAAAGAGGAGAACGAAGUGUGGAAGGGAGAGAAAGGUAGAGAGGAAUAAGCAUUAAAAGUAUGAGAGUUAAAUAAGAUAAAAUAAGAAAACACGAAAUAAGUAUGAAAUGUAUAGUGAAGAAAAAGUGUGGAAGGUUAAAUAUGAUAAAAAAGAGAAGAAAAAAAAAGAUAGGGAAAGGGAAUGAGAUGAAAGGUAGAAUAAGA